AGACUCCGGCACUCUUAACGUGCAUCAAUGAGCUUGCAACUCAACAUGAACUUCACUACAGAGUC
rnacentral:tRNA from 1 species